CUCGAUUCAUCCUAUCGCAACCCUCUUGUCAGCCUCACACAGGAAUCAACUAGAGGAAAACAGAUAGCUGAAGGAAAGAAAUUAAGGCAGGAGGAUUCUUUAUAAAAUAGCAAGUACAUGUGACAGAAGCAGUUGUAAGCCCCGGUUGGCAAGUAGACACCAAAGGAUUGUAAGGAGGAGAGGGGGAAGGUUGUUGAAAAUUCCUCCUUCAGUCUUUACAGGGUUCGUAAACACCCUUGUUGUUCUUGUUUCUAUAUAUCUUCUUCUUUUUUCCAGUAGAUUGAUUUUUUACGAUUUCACCAGCAACUGGCGGGCUGCAACAUCACGGAGCUGUUUGAAAUCAUCAUAUAAAUCACUGAGGUGAUGUCAACAUCAUACCAGAGUGAGUUGUUCCCUUUGUCUCCCCAUCUAAGUCACAAUCUGCAGGACAUCCGUUGACCAACAAAGGACUCCCUGCAUAGCACACCAGAAUGCCUCAGAGACCCGUGCAUCUAUACAUCUGAGGGUAGGUGGACUGGACCUCCAGGAGUCAGUGGAACUAGGGGAGCAGCGCCCUCCCCCUCACCUACUGGCAGUGAUCCAAAAGGCA
rnacentral:lncRNA from 1 species